rnacentral:lncRNA from 1 species
CAAGUCAGCAGAGAUGCAAAAUUGAAGCUGUAAUGACUUAGUAAGAGACAUGGGUGAAAGAGUUAUCCGGAAUGGAAUGCUGAGGAGACCCUAAAGGGAAUUUCCGGGUGGAUGGCCAGCACUGUCACUCGAUGAGUGGAGGAUUGACAAACUUGCCAAAUACUGCAAGAAAAGAUGUUGCUGAUCACGGAUAGGAAAUACUCCAAGUCCCAGGAGAUAGUCUGUUCUUAGGAGACUUCCACACCAAGUCUGCUGACCAGAGAAGGACCAGUCAACCACCACACUCUCCGCUGGAGCCCACUCAGCACCAGGAAGUAUUUGGGAGUUCUUCAUUCCAGACAUCUGUGCCAACAUGGCACUUGGGAUUCUUUUAAACUCCAAGUGUUGUUCAUUUUUUGUUUGUUUUUCAGGAAGGAAACAGAUGGAAAAACCUAGACUUGGUAGGGAAGUGAUUGAAUUGAUUAUAUUAUACCCAUGUUAUAGAAUGCAGUUAUUAAACACAGUAACAUAUAUUUCUAUAGUAAUAGCAAGCAUUUAUUGAACCUUGAGUGUGUGCUAGGUAAUAGUUUAAAAUACUUUUCUUGAAUUAACUCAUGUGAUCGUCUCAGCUCCCUUAGAUCAGUGCUAUUAUCAAUAUCAUCCUCUGAGAGACAAAGCUGUUAAAUUACUUUGCCCAGAUGACAUGGCCAGUGAGUAUGGAGACAGACCGGAAAUUAAGGUGACUAGCUCCACAGCCUGUGCCCUUAACUAAUGUGGUGCAAUCUCUGUUUAAAGAUGUCUUGAGCUGACAGCCAUGAUCUAUUGUUAAGGGAGGAUGAGUAUUAUUAAUACAUAGUAUUUUGAAAUCGUAUCACAAAGAAGUCAAUGGCAUGAAAAGUGAUCCAUUCCCUCUGUGACCUUGGUAAGUCCUACCCAUUCUGGGCCUCAUCCGAUCCUCUGUUUCUUUAAGUAGGGAUCUGCUCUGUAUACCUCACAGAGGGUAUGAAUCAAUGAAAUCACAUGGGUAAAACUGGAUAAAACUGCUUUGCCAAUCACUUUGUAAUAAAAUUUUAUUUUUAAGAGUAUUCUUAUUGAUAUUACCAUAUAAAUAUAGAACAUAUGUAUUACAUAAAUUUGAUAUUGCAUAUUAUACUUUAUAUAUCAUAUAAAUCAUAUUAUUGAUACUGUUAUAAAAAUCUAGGUCAGUGUUAAAGUGUGUUUAAAGGGAAGAACAUUAUUUGAUAAGCAAUUAAACAUUAUGUGAAUUAAAGGGUGUUAUCAAAUUUGGGAAACAUGCAGGUUUAUCAAAAUUAAUUUUUUUAAUUGUAGAAUUUCUCAGACGCUUCAGUAUGUUAAUGUGUACUGAAUAGCCAAGAAAGUGAGAUCAUAUAGCAUUUCUCAAAUACAUUCAUCUAUGAAACGUGUUUUCCAAGUUUCUGCUGAGAUGACUGUUUUGGGGAAAAUAAUUAGGUAGAUACUGCUGUAUGUGGAGCGUGUGUGUGUAAAAUACUUAGAGAUCCCCUAGCUCCAUUCUCUGGUAUCAUCACCCUUUGCAUCCUUGUCUGCAUGACUAGGUCUAUACCUGUGGUUCUAAUUUCUUUUUUGGACUGUAGACCAACUGGAUGUUUAUUCAUUUAUUCCACAAACAUGUUUUUGUUUGCCUACUAUGUGCCAGGCUCUGUUCUAGAUUCUCGGAAUAUAGCAGUGAACAAAACAGAUAAAACGUGCCUGCCCCUGUGGGACUGAGAUUCUAGUGGGGAAGACAGACAAUAAACAAAGUCAAUAAGUAAAUUGCCCUCUAUAGGGAAAUAAUGUGAUAUUAAGAACUGAGGCCUUUUGGGAAGUGAUUAAGUCUUGAGGGCUCUGCCCUCCGUGAAUGGAACUAUAAAAAAGGUUGAAGGGAGCUGGCUUGCCCCUUGCACCACAAGAGGACACAUAGAAGGUGCUGUCUUAUGAGGCAGAGAGCAUGCCCUCCCCAGACAGAGAACCUGUUGGCACCUUGAUCUUGGACUUCCCAGCCUCUAGAACCACAGGUUGUUAAACUGAACCAUCUUGACUGGCCCCAGCCAAGUUUCUUACAGUGGAAAUGGCACAUUAACUAUGCAGCUGUCAUGAGAGAAGUCAGUACUCUUAGAUUCUAACCCAAAAGAAUUCAAAUAUAUUGGAUUUCCUCUCCUGUUCAAUUGGAAUUCAAGGACUUAAUCCACUUUUAAUUACACUGUUCCUGUUGUUGCAUCAAAAGGUAUGUUUAUCAACUGGUUUUGAGUUUAAGUAGCUGUUUCUUAAAAUUCAUUUUAAAUCUUCUGUUUUUUUUUUUUUAUAUAGGCUUUCAUUGUAUACUUUGAUGUAUAAUGGGUGAGAGUUUGAUUAAAAAAUAGAAGGAUACUUUCAAGAUUUACCAUGGGAAUUGCAAAUAUAAUUAAGCCAAAAGUCUGUUCUAUGACUUUUCUUUCCACUAUUUAUCACUCAGAGUAAUGAACCAUGGAUGAGGGAAUGUGAAUUGAGUUAGUGCUUCCUGAUCUUCAAGGAUAAGAUAAAAAGGCAACUUAAUAUUUCUGGGUAAUCAGUAGAAAUGAGAAUAGUGUGGGAUAAUAACCAUUAGCAUGUACAUCACUUAGCUUAUUAUGUACCAGCAGUGUGCUAGUUCUUUGUGUGGAUUAACUGAUUUAACCUUCACAAUCGCACCACAAUGCAGUUUCUUUGGUUAUUUCCAUCUUACAAAUGAGAAAACCGAGGUCCAAAGACUUUAGUAAAGAUACAGGGCCAUUGGGCUCCAGAGCUCAUCUUUUAACCAUGAUAAUGAAUUAAAGAGAAGUAUGCCUAAUGAUAGGGCCAAAGGGGAGGGGCUUAGGGAAAUAGAAGGCUAUUAAUUUUUCAUAAGAUUAACAAAAAAGAAUACAAACCAGAACCACAAACAUAAAAAAGAUGGAGUCGGC